CUCUAUUUUCCUCGCUGCUCGUUGUGAACAACAAUGGAAGAGCACGAAAUUCUUCCUCUCAAACACUCUCUUUGUUCUCGGUUCCUCAUGACAACAACAACGGUUGAAUAAUCACAACUCUCGGAUUUUCAUGGCUUGAGAUGAUAUACAAGAAAGAAAUAUUUGUAGUAAUGAUUAAAGAGUAAUAUUGAGCGUGAGGUGCAAAGUAUACUUACCUUCGGCGAGGAAAUGUUCGCCAGAUUUUGAAUUUGAGAGAAACAUGUUCAUAACAAUAUUGAGAUUAAGAGUGAAAUUGACUUACCUACGGCGAGGAGAGUUUCGCCGGAUUAUCGUUGAGGCUUUUGAUGAAGAUGGCCACCACCUCUUUGGAUAUUAGGGAGACUUGAAGAUGGAAUUCAAGUUGGAACUCUCCACCAAGGUAUGAAGAAUUUUUCCUUUACUCUCUUCAAACCAUGGAACUUUGUAACUAGGAAUUCUCACUUCUCAAGUGGUUUUCUUUGGUUUGAAGAAUUGCUUCUUCUUGCCAAGAAACUUUAAAACUAUGAGAGAAAAGAGAGAAAUGAGAAAGCUAGUAGUAUAGUAGCUUUGGUGUGAUUUGCAAUGAAGUGAGGCCUUCUAUUUAUAGGAAAAGUUAAGGAAGUGUUUGGCAUUUGGUAAUAAACUUGAUAUCCAAAUUGUAAUCAUUGCAAAAAUCUCAUAAGAAUAAGAAUAUUCUUUAUGACAUUAUUUCUUAUGCAAGUGGGAAAAAAUAUCUUUGAUUCCUUUUUGUCUUGAAUUAUUUCUUUGCUAAAUACACCCCUUUUUGUCUUGAUUUGGGCUUUUGAAUAUUUUGUUGAGCUUUUUGCUAAUCUCACCCUUCUUGUUUCUUUUUCCAUGUGACAUGAGCAUUCUUGAUGAAAGCAUGAAGAAAUUCAAUUUUGAAGAAUGAAGACUUUGAAGAUUGAAGAAUUCAAGAAAGUCUUUGAAGCUUUACUUUUCUUUUUCUUGUAAUUCCAAUUUAUUCCAACUUUAAAUUGUAUGAACUUUGCAUUCUUGAAAAUGAAUGGAAUUUUGUAAUUCUUGAACUUUAGAUAAAGUUCCUUUGUAAUUCAUUUGUUCCAUGUAAAUGCUUGAACUUCUUUUAGAACUUGAAUGAAAUUAUUAUUCAAUCAUGAAAUUCCAA